rnacentral:rRNA from 1 species
CACUGGCGGCAGGCCGUAACACAUGCAAGUCGAACGGCAGCACAGAGGAGCUUGCUCCUUGUUCUGGCGAGUGGCGGACGGGUGAGGAAUACAUCGGAAUCUGCCCAGUCGUGGGGGAUAACUUAGGGAAACUUAAGCUAAUACCGCAUACGACCUACGGGUGAAAGCAGGGGAUCGCAAGACCUUGCGCGAUUGGAUGAGCCGAUGUCGGAUUAGCUUGUUGGCGGGGUAACGGCCCACCAAGGCGACGAUCCGUAGCUGGUCUGAGAGGAUGAUCAGCCACACUGGAACUGAGACACGGUCCAGACUCCUACGGGAGGCAGCAGUGGGGAAUAUUGGACAAUGGGCGCAAGCCUGAUCCAGCCAUGCCGCGUGAGUGAAGAAGGCCCUCGGGUUGUAAAGCUCUUUUGUCCGGAAAGAAAUCCUGUCGGCUAAUA